CACGGUGGAUGCCUUGGCACUAGAAGCCGAUGAAGGACGUUACUAACGACGAUAUGCUUUGGGGAGCUGUAAGUAAGCUUUGAUCCAGAGAUUUCCGAAUGGGGAAACCCAGCACGAGUUAUGUCGUGUUAUCUGCAUGUGAAUACAUAGCAUGCAAGAAGGCAGACCCGGAGAACUGAAACAUCUUAGUACCCGGAGGAAGAGAAAGAAAAAUCGAUUCCCUGAGUAGCGGCGAGCGAAACGGGAAGAGCCCAAACCAAUAAGCUUGCUUAUUGGGGUUGUAGGACACUCUGUACGGAGUUACAAAAGAAUUUGUUAGACGAAUAACCUGGAAAGGUUAAUCAGAGAAGGUAAUAAUCCUGUAGUCGAAAACGAAUUCUCUCUUGAGUGGAUCCUGAGUACGACGGAGCACGUGAAAUUCCGUCGGAAUCUGGGAGGACCAUCUCCUAAGGCUAAAUACUCUCUAGUGACCGAUAGUGAACCAGUACCGUGAGGGAAAGGUGAAAAGUACCCCGGAAGGGGAGUGAAAGAGAACUUGAAACCGUGUGCUUACAAGUAGUCAGAGCCCGUUAAUGGGUGAUGGCGUGCCUUUUGUAGAAUGAACCGGCGAGUUACGAUCUGAUGCAAGGUUAAGCAGAAAAUGUGGAGCCGUAGCGAAAGCGAGUCUGAAUAGGGCGAAUGAGUAUUUGGUCGUAGACCCGAAACCAGGUGAUCUACCCUUGGUCAGGUUGAAGUUCAGGUAACACUGAAUGGAGGACCGAACCGACUUACGUUGAAAAGUGAGCGGAUGAACUGAGGGUAGCGGAGAAAUUCCAAUCGAACUUGGAGAUAGCUGGUUCUCUCCGAAAUAGCUUUAGGGCUAGCCUCAAGUGAUGAUUAUUGGAGGUAGAGCACUGUUUGGACGAGGGGCCCCUCUCGGGUUACCGAAUUCAGACAAACUCCGAAUGCCAAAUAAUUUAACUUGGGAGUCAGAAUGUGGGUGAUAAGGUCCAUAUUCGAAAGGGAAACAGCCCAGACCACCAGCUAAGGUCCCAAAAUAUAUGUUAAGUGGAAAAGGAUGUGGCGUUGCCCAGACAACUAGGAUGUUGGCUUAGAAGCAGCCAUCAUUUAAAGAGUGCGUAAUAGCUCACUAGUCGAGUGACACUGCGCCGAAAAUGUACCGGGGCUAAACAUAU
rnacentral:rRNA from 1 species